rnacentral:rRNA from 1 species
GACGAACGCUGGCGGCGUGCCUAAUACAUGCAAGUAGAACGCAGUUGCGCGCGGGUGAGUAACACGUAGGUAACUCCCUGGUAGCGGGGGGUAACUAUUGGGAACGCUAGCUACUACCGCCUACUACCAGAUGGACGUGCGUUGUAUUCGCUCGUUGGUGGGGUAACGGGUCACCAAGGCAACGAUGCAGAGCCGGCCUGAGAGGGUGAUCGGCCACACUGGGACGGAGACACGGCCCAGAGUCCUACGGGAGGCAGCAGGAGGGAAUCGUCGGAAAUGGACGAAAGGCUGACCGAGAAACGCAGCGUGAGUGAAGAAGGUUUUAGGAUCGUAAAACUCUGUUGGUAGAGAAGCGGUAGCUAACCAGAAAGCCACGGCUAACUACGUGCCAGCAGCCGCGGUAAUAC